CCAAGACAUGGAGCUAACUGAGAAUAAAGCAAGUCUGAUAAUGAAAAAUACAAACUUUUGCCUUGUCCAACAAGCUCUUCAGAGUCCUCCUUUCUGUUAUCUAUGGUGGAUGAAACUAAAUAAUUCGUGGCAUGAAAAACCUUUCUGGGUAUUGAAUACCUUGAUGCAUUCUCCAAAAUGUGCAGCAGAAAGUUACAGCAGCUGAACGGAUGGUGAAAAGUGUGGCACACCUUGCUAACAAUAGUCAACAUUAGGUAUUUGCAGAACAGGUCCUCGACCGCUGCCUCAUUUUACUUCAAUUGGAAUAUUGUUAAAGAUAAAAUUGGAAGUUAUGUAAAUAUUUACAAUAGGAAAACACUGCCACUUAUGAAUAUAAAGCAAUGCUACACGGUGCAGAUAAAUCAAUACGGGAGAAUUGGAAAACUGCACAAGAAAUGAGGAAAUGUAACAUUUUCACAAGGAUGGAGUUUCUAUAGCAACUGCAACGACUUCACUUCAUAAACAUUGCCCGAUUCAUUGAUUCAACAGAAUAAUCAGUCUAGUGUGCAAAUCUUUAUAAUUUAAAUCUAUAAUAAUAUAGGCUGAUUUUAAAGAACCAU